rnacentral:rRNA from 1 species
GACGAACCGUGCAAACGUUAUUCGGAAUCACUGGGCUUAAAGCGUGUGUAGGCGGCGGCCUAAGUACCUUGUGAAAUCCCACGGCUCACCCGUGGAACUGCUCGGUAUACUGGGUCGCUUGAGCCACUUAGGGGCUACCGGAACAAAUGGUGGAGCGGUGAAAUGCGUAGAUAUCAUUUGGAACGCCAAUGGUGAAAACAGGUAGCUGGGAGUGUGCUGACGCUGAGACACGAAAGCCAGGGGAGCAAACGGG